rnacentral:tRNA from 1 species
GCCGCAGUAGCUCAGUUGGUAGAGCACAUCAUUCGUAAUGAUGGGGUCGGGGGUUCGAAUCCCUCCUGCGGCA